rnacentral:rRNA from 1 species
UACGUAGGGUCCGAGCGUUGUCCGGAAUUAUUGGGCGUAAAGGGCGCGUAGGCGGCAAUUCAAGUCACUUGUGAAAUCUCUGAGCUUAACUCAGAACGGUCAAGUGAUACUGCUUUGCUAGAGUGCAGAAGGGGCAACCGGAAUUCUUGGUGUAGCGGUGAAAUGCGUAGAUAUCAAGAGGAACACCGGAGGUGAAGACGGGUUGCUGGGCUGACACUGACGCUGAGGCGCGAAAGCUAGGGUAGCAAACGGG